rnacentral:tRNA from 1 species
GCAACUGUUAAGUGUUUGGCUGCUAACCGAAAAGUUGGUGGUUCGAACCCACCCAGUGGCU